rnacentral:rRNA from 1 species
AUCAAAUGGAGAGUUUGAUCCUGGCUCAGGAUGAACGCUGGCGGCAUGCCUAAUACAUGCAAGUCGAACGAAGUUUC